UUCACUUACAUUCUUUCUACAGCUUCAAGGUAGCAAAGAUUAUUAAACUUGGUGGCUGAAUGGUUAGUAUUGCUUAUAAAAAUAAAACUAGCACCAACUUUAGUCAGACCAGUGCACCAUAUUUUUUCAGCUGCAACAUAACCUUUUUUCCUUCACUUACAGACCACUUGAAAUGUGAUGGGAAGGGCCACUGUAGAUAGUGAAAGGCUACUGUUUUUCUGUACUGACUUCAUUUUCCUCACCCAUCCCUCAUUAAUCUAAUUGUUAAACAAUUAGUUUCACACCUUAGAUAUAUUUCCUGGAUAAUACCAAACUCUUCAUACCUUUUUGUCUUAACCCCGUUUCUUCUGCCUAACAUCAACUGUUUCAUCUUUGAUUCACUGGGGGUGGGGUGAGCUUUACAUUGCAGAGGUGAGUAAUCUAUUUCCUCAGGAAGAUGGUAAGAGCUCGUGUGAGC